UCAUGAUUCAUUAAAAAGACUAUUUUGAGAAAAUACAACCACAUCAUUCCUUGACAUAAUGGAUAAUAUACUCAUUUUGUUAACAAUUGGGUUAUAUCUUUACCUGACAACCGCACAAUUAGAUAACGGAUUUUUACCAGUUACAAUUACGCUAUCUAUUAUAGCGGUAGACGCCCCUCAUACAACGAAAGAAAUUGAAUGUCCACGUUUUCAAAAGGACUGGGAAGUUAAAGCUAAAGAGAAAUGUCCGGGAAACAAAAAUCAUUAUCAUUGUUUGUAUGACAGAAAUUGCCGUCUGGUUGAAUUUUGUGAAGAGCAGAAAACUAAUUAUAUUUCUGUUUAUUUGCGUGAUGACAACAUAUUUCAAAAGCAGGAAAAUGUGAACGUUGACUCAAAUUCAAUGUUUUAUUGGUUACUUCAAUAUCCCGUCUGUAACAGCAAAUUCAACACUUCUUAUCCAUUUGGUAAUAUUACAGAACAAGUUAGAACAAUUGAAGUAUGUCGAUGGGAUUAUUAUUUAGCUUGGACACUUGUAGACAUACUCUUUAUUUCAAUUGCCAUCUAUUUGAUCUAUGUCUAUCGUCAUCGUUGCUUAAGUAUUAUACAGUCAACCUACCAAUCCUGCUUAAAAUACAGAUUAGGACAAGAUAGCGACAAAAAGGAAAAUGUGCAUAUGAUGGAAUCCUCUCCUCUGGGUAUUCAACCAAGCAGAACAGUUGACAGAAAUGGUCCAUCCCUAAACCAGACUAACAUCAUAUACACAGAGUGCAAUGUUGAUGACCAGAACUUGUUCACACUCCAAUAAUUAUAGAACAGAUUUAGCAAUACUACAAGAAGUGGGUUGUCUGUAUAUGAGUUCGGGAUACUUCUUACGUUCACCGUGAAUGCAUAUGCUUUUACUAUAGUAUAAGUGAAGGCGUUGUUAUCGGGAAAUUUCAAUUUACAAAUUGUAAACCGAGAAAGAAAGUGGUUAAUGUUAUGUCUUUAAUUGUGUUUGUCAAAUGUCAUUUGAAUCUAGAAAGUGUUUUUUAACUUUUAUUAUUCAAAAAAAAAAAAUUUAGAAGACCAUUGCAAUUUUAAGAUUUACACAUGUAUGAAGUUAUAUCUGUAUUGUUUAUAUUGUGUGCUUUUUUUUAUUAUUUAUCACAAUUUUAUCAUUUAUUACAAAUUGAAAUAUGAAAUAUGCAUUUCCAUUCGUUCUGUUCACAAAAGUGUACAGCUACAAAUGCUCAAUAGUCUAGAUUAUUAUGCCCACCUGUUUCUUAUGUGAAUUCCUUUUUGUUUUAAGUGUAGUCAGAUAUGUGUAUUUUUAUAUGUCUCAUUUUUUAUUUGCAUCGGAGAUUAUAAUUAUAAUAUUGUAAAAGCCAAGUAUAUUUAUAAGAACUAUUAGAGUUAUCCUUCUUUAUAUAGAAGUUGAACAUGUGGACUGACUUGUCUCCUUAUGAUAGUGCUGUGAUUAAUCAAUUCCAAUCAGUAUGUUAGUUGUGUGCAAGGAUGGAUGAAAUUCGUUAUAUUUAAUAUCUGUAUUUGUUAUGAUACUGCUCCAUUGAAAAUUGAGACUAGAAGCUAUGAAGGUCUUUUUAAAGUUGAAAAUAGAAUUUUUUUAACAUCACUUGUAAUGAAAAUCUUUUCAUUGAAGAUGUAAAAACAUGUCUCAUUGAAUUGUCCAGUGUAUGAAGAUUAGCCUUGUUAUUUGUUUUAUCAAGAAAAUGUUUAUUUAAUGCAUUUGUCUGAUGAUGAUAUAUUUAUAUUUUUAUUCACAGAUGAAAAUAUGUUCUUUUUAUACUGCCAAAAUCUGCAAUGACAUUAUGAUGAAAAGAAGAUGUAUUUAUAUUGCCAAUUAAAUAGUGUAGAUAAUGUAUAUACAUUUUUUAUAGUGACUCUUGUAUUGUAUUAUAAUGUUUUAUUAACUAUUUGUAUGUUUUAUAGAAUUAAGAGGUACAUGUAUUUAAAACAGUAAAUAUUAUUCCACUGUAUGUAAUCAUUGACGAUCCGACGUGGCAUUGAACAAAACUUCAGAGUAAACCUCGAUCGACGUUGUUAGAGGGGACGAUAACUUUAACCCUUGCUGUGUGUACGUCCGAAAUUCCGUAAGUUCCGAAUUGGUUUCAGUUCUCUUACUUUAGAGGCCCCUCAUGGGUGUGUCCAAGUAAUCGCAUUAUCACAUUUUUUUUUGCCAAUAUGAUCACAUAAAUUAAAUCAUUAAUUAUUUUUUUAAACUAGAUAAUCAAAUAAUCAAAAAUACAGUCCCAGAUGAACAAAUGAUCAAAUAAUAAAUUAUGAAAUAUUUGGUCUGAUAAUCAAAUAAUCACUAUAAAAGCGGUCAAGUAAUCACAUAAUCAAAAACCCAAUGAGGAAGCUCACUUUAAUUUGCCUCUAUCAAAUGUACGAAACUUAUUAAUAUACACACUGCUUAUAACAACAAAGCAGAGAUCAAGAUUUGUAAUUUCGGUGACGUCACUUUUAUCGUUCUUGAGUUAAUAUGCUCCUUUACAAAUGGAAAUAUUGCUGAUUUUUUUCGUUUCCAUUCUCUCACUUUAGUUUGCCUCAAAUAAACGUUAUGAAUCUUCUAUACUACCAAAGGAAGAGACCGCUUUCAUUGAGCCGCAACUCCUCUGUAACCAUACAAAGUCGGAAAUAUUUUUGAUAUGACGUAUAUAUGUAGUGUUUUGUACUUCCUAAAUUCUUCUUUGAAACAAUCUUUUUUCCAUAGAAAAGCCAAUGGUUUAAUUUUAUGUUCACGUGAUGAUGUUUUGUCGUGAGUGACAUAUCAAAUCCUUUCUUUAUAAUGUUCAAACGUUAUAGUAUAAUAUUGUUUACUGGUAAUCGUAUACACAAUUUCGUACAUUUACAACAUCAUUGAUAUUAAAAUCAUAAGGUGUUAAAAUUUCUAGAGAGCCGUUCAACUUUAUAAACAGUUAUAGUACUGGACUCUUAUUUCGUUCAUUCUGUUGAACAAACUCGUCCUUUCUACAUUUCGACGUAAAUGCUAGUGAAAAAAAAUUACCACUAAGACUAAGGAAGGGAUAAUUGGUAUCAUCACAUCUUUAGACUACCUUUUGCGCUUCAAUAAUGACAAAUACAGUUGAAUAAGUAUUUAAAUCACUUUCCUCCGUAAACCAUUUUUUUUAAUGCAACUAAAAGGUUUGUAGUGAAAGACAGUAUGAUUUCGUAUCAGCAUGGUAAGUGUUUGAGUCUUGUUUAAGUAACUGUGAGCAUUCUUUGUCUGUAUCAUAUGUUAUUGUUUACUUGUUAUCUGCAGAGUAAAGAGUAAAUAAGCUGAA